GGGACAUGGAACAGCUGGAAAAGUAAGACCACAUCGUUCAAAAGCAUGACAGCACCUCUGCAAAUGAGACGAGAGCUAAAUAUGUGUCUCAGAGAUAGGAAGCUAAAUCAGAACGCAGCAAGAAGACAGCACACAUUCGAGAGAGGAAAAAGUGUGAAAUCUGCUUCUGGCCAUCAGAGGAGCUGAUGCAAUCCCGGCUGACUCGGGGGACAGCCACGGUGCCAGCUACAGAGGCCACAUGGCUCCUAAUGAGGCCAGGCCCAGUUGUAGCUCCGAAGAGUGGGUGAGCCAGCCAAAUUUCACCCAAGGACAGAAGCAGCCUUAACAGCUGUUGACAAGCACUGGCUACCAUCUAUGUGUCAACAGUUGUGUCAUGAGUUUGAGAUGGGCCGACAGCACAUGGAACUCAAAGGUGACUAAGGGAGAAAGGAAAGUAAAUCAAUGAUCAGAGUCCAGAGAGCUACAUGCAGUGCAACCCAUGGUUUUAUGGGAGAACCGACAGGGGCACCUUACUCUGGAAGGAACAACGCCAGGAGAGGCUUUGAGGUGCCGAUAAUGUCCAGGAACUUGUUUGGAAUUGAGCCUUGAUUCUGAAAAGAAAGUAUCAGAAGGCAGCAUUUGAACUGGCAUUUAAGGUGUCAACCAGGGGGAGUUUGGUGCUGACCAGUAAAAGGGGAGAAUCAAAAACCGAAGCUCUAUCACCAGGGACAGGGCCAGACUCCUGACUAGAAACUCAGUGGAUGUGCUGAAUCAUUCGGAUACUUGCCAGAAAAUUAUUUUACCCACUCAGAAGGCUGGGCAUCAGCCAAAACUGUCUGGAAAACCACAAGGAAAGACAUUUCCAUGAAGUAACUAGAGUUUUGGGCUUCUACUCUAGAGGAAUAUAAGAGGAACUUUCUUUAAAG
rnacentral:lncRNA from 1 species